UGAGUACGAGAUGCUACGGCAUUGAAGCAGUCUAUGUCAUACUUCCAAGAAAAGCUUGCACUGUCAUAAACAAAUAAUGCCUGUACCAUAACCGACACAGGUGGGUAGGUAGAGUAUACUAAGGGGCGCGAGAUAACUCUCUCUAAGGAACUCGGCAAAAUGACUCCGUAACUUCGGGAGAAGGAGUGCCUUAUUUUAUAAGGUUGCAAUAACAAGAUCCAAGCAACUGUUUACCAAAAACACAGGUCUCCGCUAAGUCGUAAGACGAUGUAUGGGGGCUGACGCCUGCCCAGUGCCAGAAGGUUAAAGAAGUUGGUUAGCAUUAGCGAAGCUGAUAACUGAAGCCCUGGUGAACGGCGGCCGUAACUAUAACGGUCCUAAGGUAGCGAAAUUCCUUGUCGGGUAAGUUCCGACCCGCACGAAAGGCGUAAUGAUUUGGAUUCUGUCUCGGAGAGGGGCUCGGUGAAAUAGACUUGUCUGUGAAGAUGCGGACUACCUGCACCAGGACAGAAAGACCCUAUGAAGCUUUACUGUAACUUGAGAUUGAAAUUGGACUUUAUUUGCGCAGUAUAGGUGGGAGACGUUGAAAAUAUUCUUGCGGGAAUAUUGGAGUCAUCAGUGAGAUACCACUCUUAUAAUGUUAGAUUUCUAACUUUGUAUCAUUAUCUGGUCAAAGAACAGUCUCAGGCGGGCAGUUUGACUGGGGCGGUCGCCUCCUAAACGGUAACGGAGGCGCACAAAGGUUUCCUCUGAACGUGUAGAAAUUGUAUCUAGAGUGUAAAGGCAUAAGGAAGCUUGACUGUGAGACCUACAAGUCGAGCAGGGACGAAAGUCGGUCUUAGUGAUCUGACGGUGCUGAGUGGAAAGGCCGUCACUCAACGGAUAAAAGUUACUCUAGGAUAACAGGCUGAUCUCCCCCAAGAGUUCACAUCGACGGGGAGGUUUGGCACCUCGAUGUCGGCUCAUCGCAUCCUGGGGCGGUAGUACGUCCCAAGGGUUGGGCUGUUCGCCCAUGAAAGCGGUACGCGAGCUGGGUUCAGAACGUCGUGAGACAGUUCGGUCCAUAUCCGGUGUAGGCGUUAGAAUAUUGAGAGGAGCCUUCUUUAGUACGAGAGGACCGAGAAGGACAUACCUCUGGUGUACCAGUUAUCGUGCCAACGGUAAACGCUGGGUAGCUAUGUAUGGAGAGGAUAACCGCUGAAAGCAUCUAAGUGGGAAGCCCACCUCAAGAUAAGUAUUCUCA
rnacentral:rRNA from 1 species